GCGCACGGGUGAGUAAUACACAGCCAAUCUGCCCCAAAGAAGAGAAUAACCGCCGGAAACGACUUGUAAUGCUCUAUAUGCCUUUAUUACAUAAGUAAGCAAGGGAAAUAUUUAUAGCUUUGGGAUGAGACUGUACGGUAUCAGUUUGUUGGUGAGGUAAUGGCUCACCAAGACUAUGACGCCUAACUGGUUUGAGAGGAUGAUCAGUCACACUGGAACUGAGACACGGUCCAGACUCCUACGGGAGGCAGCAGUGGGGAAUAUUGCACAAUGGACGAAAGUCUGAUGCAGCAACGCCGCGUGGAGGAUGACACAUUUCGGUGCGUAAACUCCUUUUAUAUGAGAAGAUAAUGACGGUAUCAUAUGAAUAAGCACCGGCUAACUUCGUGCCAGCAGCCGCGGUAAUACGAGGGGUGCAAGCGUUACUCGGAAUCACUGGGCGUAAAGAGCAUGUAGGCGGGUAGUUAAGUUGGAAGUGAAAU
rnacentral:rRNA from 1 species